GCGGCGGUGCUAAGGACCUGGGACGGCGGCGGCGCUCAUGACCUGGGUUAGGCGGCGACGAUGGAGGGCUAGGCGGCUAGGGUUUCUUCGAUUCAGAGCAAGAUGAAUGAAUGAAUGAUUGGGGAAGAGGGGG